CGGGAUCAGCGCCUUUAUAAAAGCGACCUCAGAGGGUCCUUCAGCCCUUGUACCGCGCGAGGGCACAGCGACAAGACCCUCAGAAGAAAGCCGGCCCCUCACCAGACACCGGAUCUGCAGCAUCUGGGUCGCCUUGACGGUGGACUUCCCAGCCUCCAGAGCCGUGAGAAACUAACUUUUGUUGUUCAAUUCUUCAUGUUUGAUAUGGUGAAGUUUUCAACAGCUUGAAGUCACAUUUCGAGACCAGGAAUUAUCCCUGGAGAGCAGAGAGCACAUUGGGUCAUAAUGGCCAUAGAGGGAUAUUGGACUCCUUACAGCAUUUCAGAUCACAAGAAAUGCAGAGCUGCUCUGAAGACCCCGGUAGGGCCCAGAGGUGCCCCAGUCAGCAAUACCAUGAGAGUUCUCAUGGCAACUUGUAAACUUACCUAUGUUGUACAAGGAGGAGAGAUGCUUUAGUGUCCAGUUGGGAAGGAAAAAGAACCCUGGAUCCAGAGUCAUAAGGGGAAAAGAACUGCUCUUUCCAGCAAAGACAAGUUCAUGCACAUCUCUUUUUUUUUUUUUCCUGCUCUGUCUCCAUUUGGGUGGGCUUCCUCCAAAGAAUCAUAAAAAAAUAAGCUAUG